ensembl:lncRNA LINC01867 long intergenic non-protein coding RNA 1867
ACUUCAGACUUCUGCUUAUCCAUUUUGGUUCAUUCCCAAGGACAUACUGAUUUGUAACCAUGUUAGAAAUAUACCUACCUGUCACUAAAAUACAUGUCAAGUUACAUAAUCUGUUAAGUGUGAAUCUUUUUGUGUUCCUUUCCAAGUUUGGAAGCAGAAGAGAGACAACGGAGUAGGCAGAUGGAGAAACAAAUAUUGACUUUAUUACUAAAUAAAUCUGGUAUUGGAAUAGGAUUCCUAAAGCUGAGUCCCAAAAUGAGACUGAUUUGCUGUUCUAACAGAAACCAGAAGAUUCAGUGAGAAGCGUCAGAAGCAUCUCCCUAACAUGAGAAAUGAAACUUUUGAAAACAUCACCAAAGUUGUUCCUGUCUUGUACUACAGGGCUCUCUCUACUGACUGGAGAUCUCAGGAGAAAUCAUGACUCCUUUCGCCUCACCUGGCUGAACCACCUGGAUGUCUUUCCAUCAUUCUCUGUCUAUUAUUACCCUAUAGAAUGACCUUCUUUCUUAUAUGUGUUCAGGAAGGGCAAAAAAAAAAAUCUCCUAGAUGUAUUUCUCUCUUUUUAAAAACUGUAAGUACUCAGAACAAUACCAAGAAAAAUACAAAAGCAAAGCUUUUUAUAGCUAAUUAGAAACUUCCUUGCAAUUCUGAAGUGUAUGUGAUAUUGUGUAUUGUUACAAUAAUACACAAUAUUAUUAAAGUAUAUGUGAUA